rnacentral:rRNA from 1 species
AGAGUUUGAUCCUGGCUCAGGAUGAACGCUGGCGGCGUGCUUAACACAUGCAAGUCGAGCGGAGUUAUUUGGAUUGAGAGCUUCGGCAGGAUUUUCAAAUAACUUAGCGGCGGACGGGUGAGUAACGUGUGGGCAACCUGCCCUGUACUGUGGGAUAAUCACGGGAAACUGUGACUAAUACCGCAUAAUAUCACUACGAGGCAUCUCGAAGUGAAGAAAGGAUUUAUUCGGUACAGGAUGGGCCCGCA